CAAUAGCGUAUGUUAAAGUUGUUGCAGUUAAAAAGCUCGUAGUUGGAUUUCUGGUGGGAGCGAUCGGUCUGGCGCUUAGCGCGAGUACUUGCAUCGUCUCCGGCCAUCCUUGGGGAGAGUCUGUCUGGCAUUAAGUUGUCGGGCAGAGGAUCCUCAUCGUUUACUGUGAAAAAAUUAGAGUGUUCAAAGCAGGCUUAUGCCGUUGAAUAUAUUAGCAUGGAAUAAUAAGAUAGGACUUUGGUACUAUUUUGUUGGUUUGCGCACCAAAGUAAUGAUUAAUAGGGACAGUUGGGGGUAUUCGUAUUCCGUUGUCAGAGGUGAAAUUCUUGGAUUUACGGAAGACGAACUACUGCGAAAGCAUUUACCAAGGAUGUUUUCAUUAA
rnacentral:rRNA from 1 species